AAUGAAUGCAACUUCUUAGGUCGUGAUGAAGAGGCAACACAGACUGGGCUUGUCCAGCCUGGAGAAGUGAAGACCAAAAGGAGAUCCUACUGCCAUGAGAGGAAGUGGGGAGCAGACUGGACAGAGUUGAGGGAGGAGGACCAGAAAGAACUGAACCGAGUUUUCUGUGACCUGGGAAGCCAUUCUACUGCUGAAGUGCCUGAGAUGAUCUUCUCAUGAAUGUUAAAUCCCCACAAAUCAGCAUAUUCAAACAGGGGGGAGGACCCAGAGGCUAAGAUGUUGAGCUUGCAGAACACAAAUGAAAUCUAUCUGGAAAGAAACAGUAAGUCACUUACUCUAAUCUUUUUAAAUUUCAAACUUUUUUUAAGUGCUGAAAAAAAAAUUAUUUUCAACACAGGAAAAAUAUCUACAGAAAGUGUAGAUUCAGGGAAUAAAUCACAGAGCUAGAUCACAUGAGAUCAGAAUAGUUUUAUCUU
rnacentral:lncRNA from 1 species